UGGGGGAUAUUGCACAAUGGGCGAAAGCCUGAUGCAGCGACGCCGCGUGGGGGAUGAAGGCCUUCGGGUUGUAAACUUCUUUUGCUCUGAACAAGGCGCACCAUGGGGUGUGUUGAGUGUAGGGGUUGAUUAGCGCCGGCUAACUACGUGCCAGCAGCCGCGGUAAUACGUAGGGCGCGAGCGUUGUCCGGAAUUAUUGGGCGUAAAGGGCUUGUAGGUGGCUGGUUGCGUCUGUCGUGAAAGCUCAUGGCUUAACUGUGGGUUUGCGGUGGGUACGGGCUGGCUUGAGUGCAGUAGGGGAGGCUGGAAUUCCUGGUGUAGCGGAGGAAUGCGCAGAUAUCAGGAGGAAUACCGGUGGCGAAGGCGGGUCUCUGGGCUGUUACUGACACUGAGAAGCGAAAGCAUGGGGAGCGAACAGG
rnacentral:rRNA from 1 species